UGGGGAAUAUUGCACAAUGGGCGCAAGCCUGAUGCAGCCAUGCCGCGUGUAUGAAGAAGGCCUUCGGGUUGUAAAGUACUUUCAGCGAGGAGGAAGGCGGUAAGGUUAAUAACCUUAUCGAUUGACGUUACUCGCAGAAGAAGCACCGGCUAACUCCGUGCCAGCAGCCGCGGUAAUACGGAGGGUGCAAGCGUUAAUCGGAAUUACUGGGCGUAAAGCGCACGCAGGCGGUCCGUCAAGUCGGAUGUGAAAUCCCCGGGCUCAACCUGGGAACUGCAUUCGAAACUGGCAGGCUAGAGUCUUGUAGAGGGGGGUAGAAUUCCAGGUGUAGCGGUGAAAUGCGUAGAGAUCUGGAGGAAUACCGGUGGCGAAGGCGGCCCCCUGGACAAAGACUGACGCUCACGUGCGAAAGCGUGGGGAGCAAACA
rnacentral:rRNA from 1 species